GAUGAACGCUAGCGGCAGGCUUAACACAUGCAAGUCGAGGGAUAGAUUACUUCGGUAAUUGAGACCGGCGCACGGGUGCGUAACGCGUAUACAAUCUACCUUUUACAGAGGGAUAGCCCCAGAGAAAUUUGGAUUAAUACCUCAUAGUAUUUUCGAAUCGCAUGAUUUGAUUAUUAAAGUUCCAACGGUAAAGAUGAGUAUGCGUCCCAUUAGCUAGAUGGUAAGGUAACGGCUUACCAUGGCUACGAUGGGUAGGGGUCCUGAGAGGGAGAUCCCCCACACUGGUACUGAGACACGGACCAGACUCCUACGGGAGGCAGCAGUGAGGAAUAUUGGACAAUGGGGGCAACCCUGAUCCAGCAAUGCCGCGUGUGUGAAGAAGGCCUGAGGGUUGUAAAGCACUUUGUAGAGGAGGAUGGUGA
rnacentral:rRNA from 1 species